rnacentral:rRNA from 1 species
GACGAACGCUGGCGGCGUGCUUAACACAUGCAAGUCGAACAAUGAAGGAGAGCUUGCUCUCCGGAUUAGUGGCGAACGGGUGAGUAACACGUGACUAACCUGCCCCUUUCUCUGGGAUAACGCUCCGAAAGGAGUGCUAAUACCGGAUACGGACUCUGAACACAUGUUCGGAGUUGUCAAGUUUUUCGGAAAGGGAUGGAGUCGCGGCCUAUCAGCUUGUUGGGGAGGUAACGGCUCACCAAGGCGACGACGGGUAGCCGGCCUGAGAGGGCGACCGGCCACACUGGGACUGAGACACGGCCCAGACUCCUACGGGAGGCAGCAGUGGGGAAUAUUGCACAAUGGGCGAAAGCCUGAUGCAGCGACGCCGCGUGAGGGAUGAAGGUCUUCGGAUUGUAAACCUCUUUCAGUAGGGACGAAGCGAAAGUGACGGUACCUAAAGAAGAAGCACCGGCUAACUACGUGCCAGCAGCCGCAGUAA